rnacentral:rRNA from 1 species
AACGGCAGCACGGACUUCGGUCUGGUGGCGAGUGGCGAACGGGUGAGUAAUGUAUCGGAACGUGCCCAGUAGCGGGGGAUAACUACGCGAAAGCGUAGCUAAUACCGCAUACGCCCUACGGGGGAAAGCAGGGGAUCGCAAGACCUUGCACUAUUGGAGCGGCCGAUAUCGGAUUAGCUAGUUGGUGGGGUAACGGCUCACCAAGGCGACGAUCCGUAGCUGGUUUGAGAGGACGACCAGCCACACUGGGACUGAGACACGGCCCAGACUCCUACGGGAGGCAGCAGUGGGGAAUUUUGGACAAUGGGGGAAACCCUGAUCCAGCCAUCCCGCGUGUGCGAUGAAGGCCUUCGGGUUGUAAAGCACUUUUGGCAGGAAAGAAACGUCGCGGGUUAAUACCCCGCGGAACUGACGGUACCUGCAGAAUAAGCACCGGCUAACUACGUGCCAGCAGCCGCGGUAAUACGUAGGGUGCAAGCGUUAAUCGGAAUUACUGGGCGUAAAGCGUGCGCAGGCGGUUCGGAAAGAAAGAUGUGAAAUCCCAGAGCUUAACUUUGGAACUGCAUUUUUAACUACCGGGCUAGAGUGUGUCAGAGGGAGGUGGAAUUCCGCGUGUAGCAGUGAAAUGCGUAGAUAUGCGGAGGACACCGAUGGCGAAGGCAGCCUCCUGGGAUAACACU